UUCUUCCAGCAGGCUUAUCUUUGAGACAAGCAUAUGACUACUGGCAGGAUCAACCAGGUAGCAUUCCUCUUUGCCGGCGGCACCGUAUGAGCAAGGGGACAAUACCCGUCCCGGAGUCAACACGGGCACACCAGUCUUUCACAAGGGACAACUAACUCGGGCCAUAAGGGGACAAGGUCCCCCAACCGAUCAUGUUUCUACACACCAGACUUCAAGCAACCCGGGGGAGCCCGAUGCCCGCUACCCAAAACGGUGAAGCAAGGCCGGACAUCCAAAGCAGCUUUGGGGGCUAAUCCCCCCAAACUUUUGGCCCCAACUUAAAGAACCUGUGCCGAGGGAAUAUUUGCCCUUCCUACAAUAUAGGUCUGCUACUGUCGGGGGUGCACACAAACCGAGGCCAAAUAAUUAGAAUGCUACAUGGAUGAUCCUGCCAGUAAUCAAAUGCUUGUCUAAAAGAUUAAGCCAUGCAUGUGUAACUAUGAACUAAUUCAGACUGUGAAACCUGCGAAGUGGCUUCA
rnacentral:misc_RNA from 1 species